CGGCAACAGCUCAAAUUUGAAAUCUGGCCUUUGGUCCGAGUUGUAAUUUGCAGAGGAUGCUUCGGGCGCGGUGCCUUCCAAGUCCCCUGGAACAGGACGUCAUAGAGGGUGAGAAUCCCGUAUGUGACUGGCUGCCUUCGCCUAUGUGAAGCUCUUUCGAC
rnacentral:rRNA from 1 species